rnacentral:rRNA from 1 species
GACGAACCGUGCGAACGUUGUUCGGAAUCACUGGGCUUAAAGGGCGCGUAGGCGGGCUGGUAAGUCAGGGGUGAAAGCCCACGGCCCAACCGUGGAAGUGCCUUUGAUACUGCCAGUCUCGAGGGAGGUAGGGGCGUGCGGAACUUCCGGUGGAGCGGUGAAAUGCGUAGAGAUCGGAAAGAACACCAGUGGCGAAGGCGGCUCACUGGCCCGAUACUGACGCUGAGGCACGAAAGCGUGGGGAGCAAACAGG